rnacentral:tRNA from 1 species
CUUGCUUUGGCGGGUCCCGAGGUCUGACUGUUAAUCAGCCGGCCGCUGGUUCGAUCCCAGCAGGCGGAUCCA